AUGGUGUCGAGGUUUUUUGUUUCUUUUUUUUCACAUCGGAUUCCUUGUAAGUUCAGGCAUCUCCAGGUAUUGAAGAGAGAGUUGUAAUAUAACAGCAUUGAAACCUGUUGUUGAAGGGCAAAGAUAUGAGCAACACAACCGUAAAUGGGGUCCCGAAUUCGAGCUAGUGCUUCAUAAGAUAUGGUGACAGCAGCAUCACUUCGAUACACAAUCGGUACCGACAGAUUCAGAAGACAAAUCUUUGUCUGAAAACUACAGAACCUGAUUGGUUCUCAAUGCUUUUUUGUUCUUGUUCUCUUCUGAGCCAAUUGCAACUCAAUCAAAUCACUGGUACAAAUAGUUUGGCAGUGUCGAUAUUCUUCUGGGGACAGUUAU